GGUGAGUCGGCCCCUAAGGCGAGGCAGCAAUGCGUAGUCGAUGGGGAACAGGUUAAUAUUCCUGUACUUGAUUCAAAUGCGUUGUGGGGACGGAGAAGGUUAGGUUGGCAAGCUGUUGGAAUAGCUUGUUUAAGCCGGUAGGUGGAAGACUUAGGC
rnacentral:rRNA from 1 species